CUCAGUAACACGUGGAUAACCUACCCUUGGGACUGGGAUAACCCCGGGAAACUGGGGAUAAUACCGGAUAGAUCAGGGAUGCUGGAAUGCGCCUUGAUCCAAAGCUCCGGCGCCCAAGGAUGGGUCUGCGGCCUAUCAGGUUGUAGUGGGUGUAACGUACCUACUAGCCGACGACGGGUACGGGUUGUGAGAGCAAGAGCCCGGAGAUGGAUUCUGAGACACGAAUCCAGGCCCUACGGGGUGCAGCAGGCGCGAAACCUUUACAAUGUGCGAAAGCAUGAUAAGGGAACUCCGAGUGCCAGCAUCUAAUGCUGGCUGUCCUUGUGCCUAAAACGCACAAGAUAGCAAGGGCCGGGUAAGACCGGUGCCAGCCGCCGCGGUAACACCGGCGGCCCGAGUGGUAGCCGCUAUUAUUGGGUCUAAAGGGUCCGUAGCCGGUUCGAUAAGUCCUCUGGGAAAUCUGGUUGCUUAACAAUCAGACUGCCAAGGGAUACUGUCGAACUUGAGACCGGGAGAGGUAAGAGGUACUUCAGGGGUAGGAGUGAAAUCUUGUAAUCCCUGGGGGACCAUCUGUGGCGAAGGCGUCUUACCAGAACGGGUCUGACGGUGAGGGACGAAAGCUGGGGGCGCAAACCGGAUUAGAUACCCGGGUAGUCCCAGCCGUAAACGAUGCUCGCUAUGUGUCAGGUACGGUGUGACCGUAUCUGGUGCCGUAGGGAAGCCGUGAAGCGAGCCACCUGGGAAGUACGGUCGCAAGACUGAAACUAAAG
rnacentral:rRNA from 1 species